rnacentral:rRNA from 1 species
UACGUAGGGUGCAAGCGUUGUCCGGAAUUAUUGGGCGUAAAGAGCUCGUAGGCGGUUCGUCGCGUCGGCUGUGAAAACCCGAAGCUCAACUCCGGGCCUGCAGUCGAUACGGGCGGACUAGAGUGCGGUAGGGGAGACUGGAAUUCCUGGUGUAGCGGUGAAAUGCGCAGAUAUCAGGAGGAACACCGGUGGCGAAGGCGGGUCUCUGGACAGUUCCUGACGCUGAGGCACGAAGGCCAGGGGAGCAAACGGG